AUGGAGGCCGGAGAGGAACUGCUGCUGCUGGCCGAACUCAAGCCCGGGCGCCCCCACCAGUUUGAUUGGAAGUCCAGCUGUGAAACCUGGAGCAUCGCCUUCUCCCCAGAUGGCUCCUGGUUUGCUUGGUCUCAAGGACACUGCAUCGUCAAACUGAUCCCCUGGCUGCUGGAGGAGCAGUUCAUCCCUAAAGGGUUUGAAGCCAAAAACCGAAGUAGCAAAAAUGAGACAAAAGGGCAGGGCAGUCCAAAAGAGAAGAUGCUGGACUGUGGUCAGAUUGUCUGGGGGGUGGCCUUCAGCCCAUGGCCUUCCCCACCCAGCAAGAAGCUCUGGGCACACAACCACCCCCAAGUGCCCGAUGUCUUUCGCCUGGUUCUUGCUAUGGGACUCAACGAUGGGCAGAUCAAGAUCUGGGAGGUGCAGACAGGGCUCCUGCUUUUGAAUCUUUCUGGCCACCAAGAUGUCGUGAGAGAUCUGAGCUUCACACCCAGUGGCAGUUUGAUUUUGGUCUCCACAUCACGGGAUAAGACUCUUCGCAUCUGGUACCUGAAUAAACACAGUAAACAGAUUCAAGUGUUAUUGGGCCACCUGCAGUGGGUUUACUGCUGUUCCAUCUCCCCAGACUGCAGCAUGCUGUGCUCUGUAGCUGAAGAGAAGUCAGUCUUUCUAUGGAGCAUGAGGUCCUACACGUUAAUUCGGAAGCUAGAGGGCCAUCAAAGCAGUGUUGUCUCUUGUGAGUCCUCCCCCAACUCUGCCCUGCUUGUCACGGCUUCUUACGAUACCAACGUGAUUAUGUGGGACCCCUACACCAGCGAAAGGAUGAGGUCACUCCACCACACCCAGGUUGACCCUGCCAUGGAUGACAGUAAUGUCCACAUUAGCUCACUAAGAUCUGUGUGCUUCUCUCCAGAAGGCUUGUACCUUGCCACGGUGGCAGAUGACAGACUCCUCAGGAUCUGGGCCCUGGAACUGAAAACUCCCAUUGCAUUUGCUCCUGUGACCAAUGGUCUUUGCUGCUGCACAUUUUUUCCACAUGGUGGAGUCAUUGCCACAGAGAUAAGAGAUGGCCACAUCCAGUUCUGGACAGCUCCUAGGGUGCUGUCCUCACUGAAGCACUUAUGCCGGAAAGCUCUUCAAAGUUUCCUAACAACUUACCAAGUCCUAGCACUGCCAAUCCCCAAGAAAAUGAAAGAGUCCUCACAUACAGGACUUUUUAAGCAAUGCCACAUCUUGUGUUUCUUUGUAGCAGGGUAGAUAGUCCUGUCAAAGGGAGGUGCUGGAAUAAUGGACCAAACAUCUGGUCUUGGAUUCAAAUAGCAUUUCUUCAGGAUUGUGAAUAGAAUGUAGCAAAACCAGAUUCCAGUAUACUAGUCAUGGAUCUUUCUCUCCCUGGCAUGUGAAAGUCAGUCUUAAAGAAAGAGAUUCCACUUGCAUGGCAACAGAGCUUUACCUUAAAUCUUUAGUCCAGUUACGAAUACCAAGUGUUGAACUCUUUCUAGUCGUUUUGAUUCAAAGUGCAGUUACUGAUGUUGUUUUGAUUAUACAAGUAAGUAGGCCUCCAGAGCCUCUCUAGUGGCAGAGCAGCUCACACUCCCUCCACUGGGAAGGAUGGCUUCUGCCUAGUACCUAUCCUUGUGUUACUGAUGCAGUGGUAGCAUUGGUUCAAGUUCUCUCCUGCUGUGGUCAGAGUUGCUUCGACGUCAGCCAAGUGCUUUUCUUCUUGGGCUCCCUUCUGACCUUCAGGACAGUUUUCCUGGAGCCAUUUGGUAUGAGGUAUUAAUUUAGCUUAACUAAAUUACAGGGGAAUCAGAGGCCAUGCUCCUGACCGAUCCACACACUAUUAUUGGCUUUUUUUUUUUUUUUUUAACAAUGGUGUGCAUGUGCAGGAGAUGACAAAUUUGUAUGUCAGAUUAUACAAGGAUGUAUUCUUAAACUGCAUGACUAUUCAGAUGGCUACUGAGUUAUCAGUGGCCAUUUAUCAUCACCAUAUUUAUUUGUAUUUUCUCAAUAGUUUUGGCCAGACCUCAACAGAUGUUAAGGUACAACUGUGUUUUUCUCGAUUAUCUAAUAACUAUAGUACUUAAAUUGAACAGUUGCAAAGAUGUCUUAAUUGUGUAAAGAAUUGGUGUAGUCAUGACUUUAGCUGAUACUUUUAUGUACAAGAUCUGCCUCUGCUGUUUAACUUCAUUGGAUUAAUCAGCUGGUUUCAACUCUACUGCAAAACAAAAAUAGCUCCUUAAAAGUACUGUUCUCCUUCAGUGGCAUGUAGUUAUCUAAUCAAGACACCUCAUUCAAACAAA